rnacentral:misc_RNA from 1 species
AGGUCUCCGUUGCUGAACCAGCGGAGGGAUCAUUACCAGAGUGCCUUCAGGCUCUCCAACCCACUGUGAACAUACCUACGUUCCCCCGGCGGGCCCAGCGCGCGGCGAGGUCCUCCUCGCCCGCGUCCGCCGAGGGCAUCUCAAACCCGAUUUUAUGUCGUGUCUUCUGAGGGGCGAAAGCCCGUAAAACAAAAUGAAUCAAAACUUUCAACAACGGAUCUCUUGGCUCUGGCAUCGAUGAAGAACGCAGCGAAAUGCGAUAAGUAAUGUGAAUUGCAGAAUUCAGUGAAUCAUCGAAUCUUUGAACGCACAUUGCGCCCGCCAGUACUCUGGCGGGCAUGCCUGUCCGAGCGUCAUUUCAACCCUCGGGACCCCCCUCCGGGGCGGGACCCGGCGUUGGGGAUCGGAGGCCGCACCGGCCCCCGUCCCCCAAAUACAGUGGCGGUCGCGCCGCAGCCUCCCCUGCGUAGUAGCACACCUCGCACCGGAGAGCGGCUCGGCCACGCCGUGAAACACCCCACUUUCAAGGUUGACCUCGGAUCAGGUAGGAAUACCCGGUG